rnacentral:tRNA from 1 species
AAGGGCUUAGCUUAAUUGAAAGUGUCUGUUUUGCAUACAGGAGAUGUUAGAUGAGGUCUGGCAGUCCUUA